GCGGAAGUGGCGGAACUGGCAGACGCGCUAGACUAAGGAUCUAGUGGGGGAAACCCUGUGGAGGUUCGAGUCCUCUCUUCCGCA
rnacentral:tRNA from 1 species